rnacentral:tRNA from 1 species
AAGGGAGACCUAAUUCGGGUAGAAGACGAAAAAAUAGUAGUCGAAACCAAGAAUCAAUCCCAAAAGGUCGGAACGAGGUAUGUGGCUUUCAAACUAGGUUCUGGGUUCACAAAAGACCUGAAUCAGGAACAAGGGCUAUUAGCUCGGGUGGUUAGAGCGCACCCCUGAUAAGGGUGAGGUCCCUGGUUCGAGUCCAGGAUGGCCCACCUGCACAGGUGGCAAAAACAAGAGAAACGAGGAAUCAGCACCUUAUCUUACUUACAUAGUAAGAGAGAAUGCUGGCUCUGAGUAAAGAGUCCAGAGGAACCUUGAAAACUGCAUAGAGCUAGGUGAAAAAGCCAAAAAAGAAGACCGCAA